CUGUUCAUCAGCCCUCAUGUCACCUGUCCCUCGUUUCUCCCCUCGUUACCUCAUGGAUUUAGUCUCUGCUUUCUGCUUCUGGUGUUGGUUUGUCGUCAUACUUUUGUCAUGAAGUCUGUCCCUGUGCCAGCUGUCCCUGUGGUCCUGGCAUCUUCCCUGUGAUUGGACGGUCAUCAGCUUACAUGUAUGUUAGUUCUCUUUGUGUUCUUUAUUGAACUCCUUCAUACCAACUGCUGCCUUGUCCUCACCUGUUCUGCUUUUGGGUCAGACUCUGAACCUGUCUUUGACAUUACAAACUAACCAAGAUGGAUCCAUGAAAUGUAUCUGCCUGCCUCUCUGCCUGCAUGCAUAGUAAAGGAUAUUCCUUUUUUAAACCAAAACGUAGCAAUGUAAAUGUAGCCUCACUGCUAAUUUCCACCGGUUGCCGACCGGUUGCGGAACAGCUCCAUGCUCCGCCGUCAGUCAACACCCACCAGGACCAGAUUUGUUGCGGCUGUGGCCAUGACUGACCGCUGAAGUCACGAGGACCCAACGAGAUCUCGCAAAUUCAGAUCCUCCCCUUCCCCCUCUUUCUGUUUUCAGAGUCUUGCGCCCCCUGCUGGUCUUGUGUCUGUACUGUACUGCAGGUGUGAUGGUGUCAAUCUGCUGCAGCAGGAAGACAGAAUAGUCUUACCUCAGAUUCCAAACUAACUAUUCUGGGGUUUGUGGAGAUGCCAGCACUCAAUAACUUUCUGAAAGAGAAAAUGACUUUGAGCCCAUCAUAG